GCCUGGUGGCUCAGUCGGUUAAGCGUCUGACUUCGGCUCAGGUCAAGAUCUCACGGUCUGUGAGUUCGAGCCCCACAUCAGGCU
rnacentral:tRNA from 1 species